AUGGAGAAACCUGGAUAUGAUCCAAUUGAAGGCAUCAAAAGAUUAAGAAAGAAGAGGAAGAAAGGUGGAUCCGGUGACCCUACCUGUCUGCCUCUGGUGACACGCUGUCUUCUCGAAGGUCAGCACCUACACAUAUCUGCACAAGUAGAAAAAUCAGGACAUAUCAUGGUGCCUAAAAUUUCAGAAGAACCAUCAAAGCAAAUACAAAGCCAUAUGAAUGCAGUGAACCAAUUUACUCAGUUUCACAAGAAGGGUCAAUAUAUUGCACAUGAGGAUGCUGAGCAAGUAUGGUGGGAUAUUGGAGCAAAUAAUCGUGGGCAGAAUGAAGAGGGUCAAUAUCUUGCACAAAAGCAUGCUGAUAAAGAGGAUCAACAUAUCAGAGCAAUUAGCAACUUUCAGAAUAAAGAGGGAUUGAGUCAACUUCAUCACGGGGGAAACAACAAUGAGAUACUGCAUGAGCAAGCAUCAUAUGGGCAUCAAUCUUACACAACCCUAAUGCAGCAAAUGACUCUCAUGAGUCAUCUUCAGAGUGAUGGGAUUGCCUAUACAGAGUUUCACUUCACUUCUCCAAGAAGGCAUGGUAUCAGAGAUGCAGGCAUUACGUACAGAAGAUCACUAUCACAGAGCAGAAACUCAUGA
rnacentral:rRNA from 1 species